CUUCUUCUCACUCGGUUUUGGGCGCAAGAUCGGAAGGGGGAGAUCCAGGAGGAUAAGCCGCUUCAUUCAAUCAACAGGAGGCUGGAGGAGAUCGGCACGGAUAAGCCGCCACAGCUGCUGCAAUCUCAGGCCACCCCCCACGGCGGGAUUUCUCAAGGACGGUGGAGGGAAGGCUGCGUGACGGCCUGGCAGAUGGAUGCGGGAAGCGUUCGUGUGAAUCGAUAUGGAAGCCGACCAGAUAGUGGUUAACCUGAAGAGGGGGAGCAACGAGAAGUUCCUCACCAGGGCCAUUGUGGGGAUGUGGGGAAUAGGGCAGACAACCCUAGCCAAGAAGGUCUUCAAGGACCCCCCGCAUCCAGUCUCACUUCGAGGUGACGCCGUGGGCCUGCGUCACUAAAAAAAUUCGUCACGGAGGAUAUUGAGAGGGGGAUCCUCGUCUCCAGGAAGGUCGACUGCUCGUACUGGACGACGUCUGAAAGGGGGAAAUUCGGGAGAAGAACCUGGUUAAUCUACUGCAGGCCAGUGCAGCCGGCUCUUGAUGACCACCUGACAGGAAGCAGUCGCCAUGCAGGAAGAAGCUGCCGUCCCCAGACGAAGGGUGGCGGAUCCUCCGCACGGCAUUGGGUGAUUCAGUCACACAGGCGAGGCUUCUGAGUUUCCGGAGCAUCGGCAUGGUGAUUGUGGCGAAAUGCGGGGGCCUUCCUCUGUCCAUCAAAACCUCAUCCGAGGAGUUCUAAAAAAAACUAUCGCCGUUUAUUUUAUU
rnacentral:lncRNA from 1 species